rnacentral:rRNA from 1 species
UACGAAGGGUGCAAGCGUUAAUCGGAAUUACUGGGCGUAAAGGGCAUGCAGGUGGUCAAUUAAGUCAGACGUGAAAGCCCUGAGCUUAACCUGGGAAUUGCAGCGGAGACUGGUUGGCUAGAGUCUUGUAGAGGGGGGUAGAAUUCCAUGUGUAGCGGUGAAAUGCGUAGAGAUGUGGAAGAAUAACGGUGGCGAAGGCGACCUCCUGGGCUCAUUCUGACACUGAGGAACGAAAGCGUGGGUAGCAAACAGG